rnacentral:tRNA from 1 species
AGUAAUCUAGGUUAUUGGGUACUGUUUGUUUUCAAAACAAAAGGAGAGCUUUGAGUUCGGUUGCUG